rnacentral:rRNA from 1 species
GAUGAACGCUAGCGACAGGCUUAACACAUGCAAGUCGAGGGGCAGCGGGGGUGCAGGCUUGCCUGCACCUGCCGGCGACCGGCGCACGGGUGAGUAACACGUAUGGAACCUGCCCGCCACAGGGGGAUAACCCGGGGAAACCCGGCCUAAUACCCCAUGCCGCCCGGACCGGGCAUCCGGUCCGGGCGAAAGGAGUAAUCCGGUGGCGGCUGGGCAUGCGGCGCAUUAGCUUGACGGCGGGGUAACGGCCCACCGUGGCGACGAUGCGUAGGGGUUCUGAGAGGAAGGCCCCCCACACUGGAACUGAGACACGGUCCAG